GACGAACGCUGGCGGCGUGCUUAACACAUGCAAGUCGAACGGUGAAGGGACCGGUUUUUGCUGGUUCUGGAUGAGUGGCGAACGGGUGAGUAACACGUGAGUAACCUGCCCCCUUCUUCUGGAUAACCGCAUGAAAGUGUGGCUAAUACGGGAUAUUCUGCGCCUGCUGCAUGGUGGGUGUGGGAAAGAUAUUGUUUCGGUGGGGGAUGGGCUCGCGGCCUAUCAGCUUGUUGGUGGGGUGAUGGCCUACCAAGGCGGUGACGGGUAGCCGGCCUGAGAGGGUGGACGGUCACACUGGGACUGAGACACGGCCCAGACACCUACGGGAGGCAGCAGUGGGGAAUAUUGCACAAUGGGCGCAAGCCUGAUGCAGCGACGCCGCGUGAGGGAUGGAGGCCUUCGGGUUGUAAACCUCUUUCGCCAGUGAAGCAGGCCUGUCCCUUUUGUGGGUGGGUUGACGGUAGCUGGAGAAGAAGCGCCGGCUAACUACGUG
rnacentral:rRNA from 1 species